AUUGAACGCUGGCGGCAUGCCUUACACAUGCAGGUCGAACGGUAACAGGUCUUCGUUUGCUGACGAGUGGCGAACGGGUGCGUAAUACAUCGGAACGUGCCCUAUCGUGGGGGUUAACGCAGCGAAAGCUGUGCUAAUACCUCAUACGAUCUACGGUUGACAGCGGGGGAUCGCAAGACCUCGCUCGGCCGUAGCGGCCCAUGGCAGAGUAGGUAGUUGGUGGGUUAAAAGCUUACCAAGCCGACGAUCUGUAGCUGGUCUGAGAGGACGACCAGCCACACUGGGAGUGAGACACGGCCCAGACUCCUACGGGAGGCAGCAGUGGGGAAUAUUGGACAAUGGGCGAAAGCAUGAUCCAGCAAAGCCGCGUGAAGGAUGAAGGCCUUCGGGUUGUAAACUGCUUUUGUAAGGAACGAAAAAGCUCUCUCUAAUACAGGGGGUGAAUGACGGUACCGGAAGAAUAAGCACCGGCUAACUACGUG
rnacentral:rRNA from 1 species